UCUUUAUUUCUGCAGUGUGCCUCUUCAUUUUGAGUUAACUGUAAGAAAAACAGAAUUAGGAACCAAAAUGCUUAGAUUCGAAUUCUUACUGGACCAGGAAGUUACCUCCUCAUUGUCUACAAUACCAUGUGCUUUAGCUAGCAGAAAUAAUUUCUAAUGUUCUGUAGGACAAUAGGGUGACUAUAGUUCAUGAGUAGUAUAUAUUAUAUAAAGAACUAGAGGAAUGUGAAGCAACCCAACACAAAUGUUCAUUAUCCUGCUUUUAUCAUUAUACAUUGUAUACAUGUAUCAAAUUAUACUGUACCCCAUACAUACGUAUAAUUAUGUGUUAAUUUAAAAAACCAGGCCAGGCAUGGUGGCACACACCUGUAAUUCCAGCACUCAGGAGGCUGAGGCAGGAGGAUCACUGCAAGUUCAGGGCCAGUCUGCACUACAUAGCGAGUUCAAGGGCAGCCUUCACAAGGCAAGACCCUUUCUCAAAAACAAAAAACAAAACCAACACACUGCUUUAUUCUAGUGCUUCACCUGUUUUUAUUGCCUAGGGGUUUGUUUUUUGUCUUCCCUCUAAAUAGUAAACUUGUUCAACAUUUUUUAAUGCUUAAUAGGAAGUAGGCAACUAUUUCCAGAGUGAACACAUGACUGGUAAGCUUUAUAACUUUAACCAAGUUACUUAACAUCUUGGAUCCUUAUCUUGAGGGCUAGAAGUCCUUCCUCUAUCAUAAAAUUGUGAAGACCAAAUUAAAUUUUACAUGUGCAAUACUAUGUAAGAACUUCACAAUUCUGACUUCUAGAAUGGAUUCUACAGUGUUAGGAGCUCUGCAGACCUGCUUCCCAGUGAAACAAGCCGAACUGGUGAAAAUUGUAAGUCUUAAAAUCUGACAAAGUUGUCACAAGGGCUUAUAGCAACUGGAACAUCUAAGAAAAUGUAGUAAAACUUGGUAAAAAGAGAGAAUCUGAACCACUAACCAUCUCUCUGCUCCCUGUCUCAGCUCAGAGCGGUGGCUGCUUCAGAAGAAAGCAGCCAAGAACACAGGACUUGCUCCUUCCCAGCUCUUAGGUGAAGGUUAUAGUUAUCUUCUGGGAAGUGCAAGCCCCCAGAUAGUUAAGUCUUAGUUACACAUGCCUGAAAUCCCAGCACUUAAGAGACAGGCAGAAGGAUCACAAGUCUCAGACCAGCCUGGACUACAUAGUGAGUUUGAGAUCAACCUGAACUCCAAAGCAAGACCCUGUCUCAGAAACAAAACAACAAAAUUAUAUAAAGUAACUAAGACAAAGUAUUGUUUGGUGUGUAAUAUAUAGAUGUACUUUGCAUGAUAGUACAGAGAGUGAAGAAAGAAUAGUUAUAUAAAAGUGAUUUUUCUGUAACUUACCUGCACUAUGAACAGAUCUGUAGUUUUACUAGAUCUCAUAAAUUCUCAUGCUGCUGGUCAGAAUAUAAAAUGCUACAACUUCUUAGGAAAACAGCCAUAGUCCCCACAAGGUUAAGUAUAGAAUUACUGUUGGGCUUAGCAAAUCUACCCCUAUGUAUAUACUCCAUAAAUAUGAAACCUAUGUCCCUAUAUCCACAUAAAGAUUUGUGUGCAAAUGUACACAGCAGCAUCAUUGAUUAAUAGCAAGGAAAAGUAAAUCCAGUAUCCAUCAACUAAUGAAUGGAUAGAUGAAAUGUAAGAAGACAAUGAAAUAUUAUUUGGCAAGUAACAUGGAUGAACCUUGAACAUGUUAUGCUAAGUGAAACACAUCACAUUGAUUUCAUUGGCAUGAAAUGUCCAUUACAGGCAAAUCUAAAGAUGCAGAUUGGGCCAGGGAUUUAGCUCAGUGGUUCCGCCGCUUGCCUUGCAAGCGCAAGGUCCCGAGUUCUAUCCCUGAUACGCGGCCCCCCCCCAAAAGGAUAUAGAUUAGCGGUUGCCUAGGGCUGAAGGUAAAGGUGAGAUUGUGGAAUUAUACCUAAAGGGUACACGGCUUCUCUUUGGUGUAAUGAAAAUGUUAAGAUUUGAUCAUGGUAAUGGUUGUGUAAUUGUGUGAAUAUACUAAAAACCAUUGAGUUGUACACUUAACAUAGCUGAAUUACAGAGGUUUCUCCUUUUCUCCAUAUGUAUAGGGGAUACAUGCUAAGAACUCUAGUGAAUGCCUGAAACCCCAAGUAGUACUGAACCCUAGUAUAGGGAUAGUAUGUGCUAUUUUUUAUAAUACAUUUGUACCUAUAAUAACAUUUAAUUUAUAAAUUAGGCACAGGUUAAUAACUAAUAAUAAGAUUAGAACAGUUACUGUAAUUAAGUUAUACGAAUGUGGUCUCUCUUGAAAGAGUCAAAAUAACCUGGAUUGGAUAGUAUACAUCUGUAAUCCUAGAAUUUUGGGAGCUGAAGCAGGAGGAUCCCAAGUUUGAGCUUAGCCUGACCAACUUAGUGAAACCAUGUCUCAAAAAUAUGCAAAAGAGCUGGAGAUGUAACUCAGUGGAUUCAAUCCAUUGGCCCUGGAUUCAAUCCUCAGCAACACAAGUGCGCGCGUGCACACACACACACACACACACACACACAUGUGCACACAGUCAAAACAAUGAUUUUAGGGCUGUUGACCACAGGUAACCACAUCUAUGGGAAGUGGAGACUACUACAUCUAUACCAGUGGCACCUAUGGCAUAUGUGUGACACCUUUGUAUCACUGAAAGCUCUAAAAGUU
ensembl:lncRNA